ACUACAGUUUUGAAGGCAUUUAAAAUGAGAGAAUAACCUUUGCAAGAUGAUGUAAAUGACAGGGUUAGAGGAGAGUUCUUCUUCUUUCAGAUGCUCAGCGUCCUUGGCAAGUUGGCUACCUUCUGAACAGUCACUGACUCGAGUCUCGAGUGGCCGGAAAAGAACGUAGUUGUUGACAUCGGAUAACAUUGGCGGUAAUUUAAUAAUUAUUGCGUGAUUUAAUUAAAGUUUAAUUGUGCUUGUGUUUUGAGUGUUUCGCGUUAACGAACUAAACCGGACUCGUGAUUUUAACGGUGAUACGAUUCCCCAAAAUCCGUGUUUUAACAGUGUGUUUUCCUGUGAUCUCGGCUGCCAUUAAGCCUACGUUGGAAAGGACAGCUCAGGUAGCAGACAAGUGAUGCCUGGGAGAUCGAACUCUGGUUCCUCACAUGUGAGCAGGGAUUUUGGCAGAAUUUACCAUAACCAGCGUGGGCGAAGUCAGGUGUAAGUCAUUUUGUUAACAUUUUGCUUUUUCUAUCACGUAACGUUAGAUAUAUGUGGCAUAUUUUUUUCUUAUUUAAUUCUUUUGGGACCUGAUGUAAAUUAUCAUCUAAAUGUAUAAUUGUGUACAGUGUAGAUGAAUUUUUUUUUAAAGAUCAACCUGAGUUGGCUUUUAAAAACACAAACAUUUAAGUUGAUCCAUGAGAUUGAGAUCCGUGGUUUUUUUUUUUCAUUAAAUGAAACUUCUAAAUUUCUCUAGAAAAGUAAUUUAGGAAUAGCUUAUUGAACCCUGUGUUAUAGGUUUCAGUAAGAUAUAAUACAGCUGUGAAAGCAAGAUUUAGUGGCCAAGUAAAAGUCCUUGUAGAAUAUAUCGUACAUUUUUAUGAAGACUUUUCAUCUAGUUUCGUGAUUAAGGAAAAUAGGGCGUUUUUCAUCUUCAGUAACAAUGAAACUAAUUGUAUACCCUUCUCAUCUCCAUUUCAGUUUUAUAAUGUUUUUCAGUCGCGGUGACUUGUUUCCUCUUUGGCCUUCCUAUCAUAGAACUAAAGUACAUUUUCCACUAGAAUACUUAAUACUCAAUUACCAGAAUACAGUCAUGAAUAUCUAAGUAGCGUUCUUGAAUGAAUCAUUUACGUAAAAAUUCCAGUGUACGAAAUGAAUUAAAACUACCUUCACUUUCGUGCCAAAAGUGUUAUCAUUCCCCCGGGUCCAAAGGUCCACCAGAUUGUGAAGCGAAAUAGAACGUUGAGACGACUCUGUAAGCGAUGUGAAAAGAUAGAAAUCACUACGAGUAAUUUAGGAAUUAAAUGUGCAGUAUGAACAGACACCACAAAUUAAAAUGGUAAGCGACGGUACAGCUGCACACUAGUGCGCGACCUUGUAUAAUGGUAAUUGAUAGUCAAUUAACCCUUGACAAAUGUCUGAUAUACAUAUUAAUAGUCUCCAUGGUUAUGUGUACUUCAUAUAUAUAUAUAUAUAUAUAUAUAUAUAUAUAUAUAUAUAUAUAUAUAUAUAACCAAAUUACACUUAGGAAAGCGAAACAAUGAAGUUUUGCAAAACCCUUUCGACUUACUGUCCUUUACUUAAUAGCCUGAAGAAAUAUAAGAAUAAGUUUACAAAGAAAACUCCUAUAAGUGAUAGAUGGGGAUUACAAAGUAAAAUAUGUAUAAAUAUACAUAUGUAUAUAUAUGUAUGUAUAUAUGUGUGUGUGUGAAAUAUGUGAAAUGAAAUGUAUAUUGGAGGUAUAUGUACUUCUACAUAUGAAGAUUUUUACCACGUCUUCAGCACCGGUAUCGUGUCAUAACUUUCUUGCGGAAACCGUCUGAGCAAACUUGUUUUUGAGGGGAAAGUGUCCCCCGAACCAGUUUUAGAAGG